UCCCUCCACUGUAGGGACUAGACACACCUCUGUCCCCUCUGCCCUCCAUCCCAUCCUCCCUCCACUGUAGGGACUAGACACACCUCUGUCCGCUCUGCCCUCCAUCCUCCCUCCACUGUAGGGACUAGACACACCUCUGUUCCCUCUGCCCUCCAUCCUCCCUCCACUGUAGGGACUAGACACACCUCUGUCCCCUCUGCCCUCCAUCCUCCCUCCACUGUAGGGACUAGACACGCCUCUGUCCCCCUCCCACCUACACAGGGCAGCUGUACUGAAGCCACACUGGACUGAACAGAACUGAACUCAGCCAAAGCCCAGAGUUUGUUGGCAGAAGUUUUCCUCUUGAAACCUGGUCAGCUUUAGAUUAAUCAUCACUACUAACAUUGAUAACAGGGUCAUAUGGAGGUUAGGGGUCAUAUGGAGGUUAGGGGUCAUAUGGAGGUUAGGGGUCAUAUGGAGGUUAGGGGUCAUAUGGAGGUUAGGGGUCAUAUGGAGGUUAGGGGUCAUAUGGAGGUUAGGGGUCAUAUGGAGGUUAGGGGUCAUAUGGAGGUUAGGGGUCAUAUGGAGGUUAGGGGUCAUAUGGAGGUUGGGGGUCAUAUGGAGGUUAGGGGUCAUAUGGGAGGCUCCCAUGCAUGGUAGCCAGGGUUAUUAUGGAUGAGCGUAUAGUACAGGGCUUCUGCACCCACCCUGCACUAGAACACAUGCUGUGCUGAUUCACCUAAUUCAUGAAGAAUAGUUUUAUUUGUUGUUUUGUUAGUGGUGGGCUGGAACAAAACCCUGCACACAUACAGCACACUGAUGGCCCUGUGUAAGAUGUGCUGUUCUCAACAACCACCAGUGGAUGCUAGUUGGAACAGUGUGACAGUUAAACAGUCAGGUGGUGUCCCCUCCAGGGUUGGGGUCAUGCUAGUCGGAACAGUGUGACAGUUAAACAGUCAGGUGGUGUCCCCUCCAGGGUUGGGGUCAGCUCCAUUUAGAUUCCAGUCAGUUCAGAAACUGAAGCGUGUUCCAAAUCCACAUUAUCCUCAUUGAAAAGCAUUGAGGAGAAUUGGAAUUUCGCUAUACUUCCUGAAUUGACAGGAAUUCAAAUUAAACUGACCCCGACCCUGAUACCCUCAUAUUCUGUUUUUAUUUACUUUUUAUAUUGUUUUAUUACCAGCUGAUGGGGAGGAGCUAAUUAUGACCUAAUUUAUGUUACAUGUAUUAAUCUUAUAAAAAAUAAUCUCAGUCAGGAAGUGUAUCUUGAAUCAUCCUCCCCCAGUUUCUGCUCAUGCUAAAGCACACUGGUUUUACUUUAGGGAUAGUGUGUCAAGCGUCUGAGUAUGAGAGAUGAUCCAGGAUCAGGUCCCAACCUGUCCACACAAUCCUUAUUAAUUGUGUUCUAAAAGGCAAAACUGAUCCUAGAUCAGCACUUCUACCCUGAGACGAAUGAGACAUUGGGGCCCAGCUAUCUUAACGGCUUAAUAAUGAUGAGCGAGGACUGACACACCAAAUAACAUUAUGAUGAAGUCUCAGUUGCUCCCUAACGUUUGUAAAAAUGUUUUUGUAAAAACAAUGUAUUUUCUUUUCCUAUUGUAUUGUUCAGUGAACAGGGUUUGUCACUGUUUUUCUCUUGUUGGUUGUUUAAUAAAUCAUUUUUAAACUCUU